rnacentral:rRNA from 1 species
UACGGAGGGGGCUAGCGUUGUUCGGAAUUACUGGGCGUAAGGCGCGCGUAGGCGGCUUUGUAAGUUAGAGGUGAAAGCCCGGAGCUUAACUCCGGAACUGCCUUUAAGACUGCAUCGCUAGAAUCGUGGAGAGGUGAGUGGAAUUCCGAGUGUAGAGGUGAAAUUCGUAGAUAUUCGGAAGAACACCAGUGGCGAAGGCGACUCACUGGACACGUAUUGACGCUGAGGUGCGAAAGCGUGGGGAGCAAACGGG